rnacentral:rRNA from 1 species
GCGACAGGCUUAACACAUGCAAGUCGAGGGGCAGCACAGGUAGCAAUACCGGGUGGCGACCGGCGCACGGGUGAGUAACGCGUAUGCAACUUGCCUAUCAGAGGGGGAUAACCCGGCGAAAGUCGGACUAAUACCGCAUGAAGCAGGGGCCCCGCAUGGGGAUAUUUGCUAAAGAUUCAUCGCUGAUAGAUAGGCAUGCGUUCCAUUAGGCAGUUGGCGGGGUAACGGCCCACCAAACCGACGAUGGAUAGGGGUUCUGAGAGGAAGGUCCCCCACAUUGGUACUGAGACACGGACCAAACUCCUACGGGAGGCAGCAGUGAGGAAUAUUGGUCAAUGGCCGAGAGGCUGAACCAGCCAAGUCGCGUGAGGGAUGAAGGUUCUAUGGAUCGUAAACCUCUUUUAUAAGGGAAUAAAGUGCGGGACGUGUCCCGUUUUGUAUGUACCUUAUGAAUAAGGAUCGGCUAACCCCGUGCCAGCAGCCGCGGUAAUACGGAGGAUCCGAGCGUUAUCCGGAUUUAUUGGGUUUAAAGGGUGCGUAGGCGGCCUUUUAAGUCAGCGGUGAAAGUCUGUGGCUCAACCAUAGAAUUGCCGUUGAAACUGGGGGGCUUGAGUAUGUUUGAGGCAGGCGGAAUGCGUGGUGUAGCGGUGAAAUGCAUAGAUAUCACGCAGAACCCCGAUUGCGAAGGCAGCCUGCCAAGCCAUUACUGACGCUGAUGCACGAAAGCGUGGGGAUCAAACAGGAUUAGAUACCCUGGUAGUCCACGCAGUAAACGAUGAUCACUAGCUGUUUGCGAUACACUGUAAGCGGCACAGCGAAAGCGUUAAGUGAUCCACCUGGGGAGUACGCCGGCAACGGUGAAACUCAAAGGAAUUGACGGGGGCCCGCACAAGCGGAGGAACAUGUGGUUUAAUUCGAUGAUACGCGAGGAACCUUACCCGGGUUUGAACGCAUUCGGACCGAGGUGGAAACACCUUUUCUAGCAAUAGCCGUUUGCGAGGUGCUGCAUGGUUGUCGUCAGCUCGUGCCGUGAGGUGUCGGCUUAAGUGCCAUAACGAGCGCAACCCUUGCCACUAGUUACUAACAGGUAAAGCUGAGGACUCUGGUGGGACUGCCAGCGUAAGCUGCGAGGAAGGCGGGGAUGACGUCAAAUCAGCACGGCCCUUACAUCCGGGGCGACACACGUGUUACAAUGGCGUGGACAAAGGGAAGCCACCUGGCGACAGGGAGCGAAUCCCCAAACCACGUCUCAGUUCGGAUCGGAGUCUGCAACCCGACUCCGUGAAGCUGGAUUCGCUAGUAAUCGCGCAUCAGCCAUGGCGCGGUGAAUACGUUCCCGGGCCUUGUACACACCGCCCGUCAAGCCAUGGGAGCCGGGGGUACCUGAAGUCCGUAACCGCGAGGAUCGGCCUAGGGUAAAACUGGUGACUGGGGC